rnacentral:rRNA from 1 species
UACAGAGGGUGCAAGCGUUGUUCGGAAUUAUUGGGCGUAAAGCGCGUGUAGGCGGUUUCGCAAGUCGGGUGUGAAAGCCCUCAGCUCAACUGAGGAAGUGCGCCCGAAACUGCGGAGCUUGAGUACCGGAGAGGAUGGCGGAAUUCCCCAAGUAGAGGUGAAAUUCGUAGAUAUGGGGAGGAACACCGGUGGCGAAGGCGGCCAUCUGGACGGAUACUGACGCUGAGACGCGAAAGCGUGGGUAGCAAACAGG